UACGUAGGGGGCAAGCGUUAUCCGGAUUUAUUGGGCGUAAAGAGCUCGUAGGCGGCCGUUCGCGUCGGAUGUGAAAGCUCAGGGCUCAACCCUGAGACGCCAUUCGAUACGGGACGGCUAGAGGUAGGUAGGGGAAAGUGGAAUUCCUGGUGUAGCGGUGAAAUGCGCAGAUAUCAGGAGGAACACCGGUGGCGAAGGCGGGUCUCUGGGCCGAUACUGACGCUGAGGAGCGAAAGCGUGGUGAGCGAACAGG
rnacentral:rRNA from 1 species